rfam:Gossypium arboreum cultivar AKA8401 contig_56387_1, whole genome shotgun sequence.
AGUCCAUGGUGUGGUCACUUUCUUAACAUUGACUUGAAAUGUUCUCAUGCUUCAUACAAGGAUUCAACUUCAUAUUGCUUGAAAUUGACAAUUUCUAGCCUAAGCU